rnacentral:rRNA from 1 species
UAGGGAAUCUUCGGCAAUGGGGGGAACCCUGACCGAGCAACGCCGCGUGAGUGAAGAAGGUUUUCGGAUCGUAAAGCUCUGUUGUUAAGGAAGAACGAGUGUGAGAAUGGAAAGUUCAUGCUGUGACGGUACUUAACCAGAAAGGGACGGCUAACUACGUGCCAGCAGCCGCGGUAAUACGUAGGUCCCGAGCGUUGUCCGGAUUUAUUGGGCGUAAAGCGAGCGCAGGCGGUUAGAUAAGUCUGAAGUUAAAGGCAGUGGCUCAACCAUUGUAGGCUUUGGAAACUGUUUAACUUGAGUGCAGAAGGGGAGAGUGGAAUUCCAUGUGUAGCGGUGAAAUGCGUAGAUAUAUGGAGGAACACCGGUGGCGAAAGCGGCUCUCUGGUCUGUAACUGACGCUGAGGCCCGAAAGCGUGGGGAGCGAACAGG